rnacentral:lncRNA from 1 species
CCAGAGAAGCUGAGCAUUGCAGAGAGCAGGGUGAAAGAGAUGGGCAAAGAGAAGACCAGCAGAUUCGGAAGGACCGGGGAAUGGGGUGAGGGUCGCUGUGAGGAGACAUGUGGAUGUGGUCAGGCCUCCCCAAUUUCAAAACACCCCAGUUCUCGCUCAGAACUACUCUGUUUUUACGAAGCACACGGGAGGGAAAAAAGCUGCUCAGAAAAACAAAUGUUAAGUAGAGACGGAGGAGCCGGCUCUGCAGCCUGCCCAGAACAGGCAGGAGCAUGCGGCACUCAGAUUGUCUGGGCCCUCAGACCUACAGUCCUGUUGCUAAGGACUGAGCUUUCCUUCUUGCCGGCAAAAGAAAAUAACAACACUGAAAGAAAGAAAAAAAAA